GACGAACGCUGGCGGCGUGCUUAACACAUGCAAGUCGAACGGAAAGGCCCUGCUUUUGUGGGGUGCUCGAGUGGCGAACGGGUGAGUAACACGUGAGUAACCUGCCCUUGACUUUGGGAUAACUUCAGGAAACUGGGGCUAAUACCGGAUAGGAGCUCCUGCUGCAUGGUGGGGGUUGGAAAGUUUCGGCGGUUGGGGAUGGACUCGCGGCUUAUCAGCUUGUUGGUGGGGUAGUGGCUUACCAAGGGUUUGACGGGUAGCCGGCCUGAGAGGGUGACCGGCCACAUUGGGACUGAGAUACGGCCCAGACUCCUACGGGAGGCAGCAGUGGAGAAUAUUGCACAAUGGGCGGAAGCGUGAUGCAGCAGCGCCGCGUGCGGGAUGACGGCCUUCGGGUUGUAAACCGCUUUCGCCUGUGACGAAGCGUGAGUGACGGUAAUGGGUAAAGAAGCACCGGCUAACUACGUG
rnacentral:rRNA from 1 species